GACGAACGCUGGCGGCGUGCUUAACACAUGCAAGUCGUGCGGGAAACUUCGGUUUCCAGCGGCGGACGGGUGAGUAACACGUGGGCAACCUGCCUCACAAUGAGGGAUAGCCUUCCGAAAGGAAGAUUAAUACCUCAUAAUACAAGAGAAACGCAUGUUUCUCUUGCCAAAGAAUUUCGUUGUGAGAUGGGCCCGCGGCGCAUUAGCUUUUUGGUGCGGUAACGGCUCACCAAGGCUGCGAGGCGUAGCCGACCGGAGAGGGUGAUCGGCCACAUUGGAACUGAGACACGGUCCAGACUCCUACGGGAGGCAGCAGUGGGGAAUAUUGCACAAUGGAGGAAACUCUGAUGCAGCAACGCCGCGUGAGUGAUGAAGGUCUUCGGAUUGUAAAGCUCUGUCUUCUGGGACGAUAAUGACGGUACCAGAGGAGGAAGCCACGGCUAACUACGUGCCAGCAGCCGCCGUAA
rnacentral:rRNA from 1 species